UUCUCGAUCUUCUUUUGUUUUCUUUUUUUUUUUUUAAUUUACCGAUUCUGAAAUUAAGAAAGCAUAUCGAAGGCUCUCCAUUCAAUACCAUCCUGACAAAAAUCCCGAUCCAGAGGCCAAUAAAUAUUUUGUGGAGUUCACAUCUAAAGCGUACCAGGCUUUGACUGAUCCUGUAUCCCGUGAAAACUUUGAGAAGUAUGGUCAUCCUGAUGGCAGACAAGUAAGCCAUGUGAUGCAGGGAUUUCAAAUGGGCAUUGCUCUUCCUCAGUUUCUUUUAGACAUAGAUGUAGCAUCUCUGGUGGCAUGUUAUUGCUUUGGAUUGUUGGUGUCUGUAUUCUCUUGCCCCUUGUGAUUGCUGUUAUAUAUCUUUUGUUCUUCAGCAAAGUUAUGGAAGUUUAGCAAAUUUACUAUUUGUGUGUUAGAAUCAUACCUAUAAAUAUUGCUUUGUGUUUGGGUUUUUAA